GUCACUUUAGCGCAAUGGAUACGUCGUUGAACUUCUACUUCAAAGGUCGUGGGUUCGAAUCCAACCAGGAAUGACA